AGGAUUCCCCUAGUAACUGCGAGUGAAGCGGGAAAAGCUCAAAUUUAAAAUCUGGCGGUCUCUGGCCGUCCGAGUUGUAAUCUAGAGAAGUAAUGCCCGUGCUGGACCGUGUAUAAGUCUCCUGGGAUGGGGCGUCAUAGAGGGUGAGAAUCCCGUCUUUGACACGGACUACCAGUGCAUUGUGGUAUGCUCUCAAAGAGUCGAGUUGUUUGGGAAUGCAGCUCAAAAUGGGUGGUAAAUUCCAUCUAAAGCUAAAUAUUGGCGAGAGACCGAUAGCGAACAAGUACCGUGAGGGAAAGAUGAAAAGAACUUUGGAAAGAGAGUUAAACAGUACGUGAAAUUGCUGAAAGGGAAACGCUUGAAGUCAGUCGCGUUGGCCGGGAAUCAGCCUUGCUUUUGCUUGGUGUACUUUCUGGUUUGACGGGUCAGCAUCAAUUUUGACCGCUGGAAAAGGACCUGGGGAAUGUGGCAGCUUCGGCUGUGUUAUAGCCCCUAGUCGCAUACAGUGGUUGGGAUUGAGGAACUCAGCACGCCGCAAGGCCGGGUUUCGACCACGUUCGUGCUUAGGAUGCUGGCAUAAUGGCUUUAAGCGACCCGUCUUGAAACACGGACCAAGGAGUCUAACAUGCCUGCGAGUAUUUGGGUGGAAAACUCAAGUGCGUAAUGAAAGUGAAAGUUGAGAUCCCUGUCGUGGGGAGCAUCGACGCCCGGACCAGAACUUUUGGGACGGAUCCGCGGUGGAGCAUGUAUGUUGGGACCCGAAAGAUGGUGAACUAUGCCUGAAUAGGGUGAAGCCAGAGGAAACUCUGGUGGAGGCUCGUAGCGAUUCUGACGUGCAAAUCGAUCGUCAAAUUUGGGUAUAGGGGCGAAA
rnacentral:rRNA from 1 species